CGGUGGUCACCUCUGUGGCCUCAGUCACUGGCUCCUUGCGGGGCCUUUACUUGCCUGUGGGACAGCAGCCCCGGCCACCACCCCGGGCAGAGGUUGGCUGCAGGCAGGAGUGGCUAUUUUGGGAUAGGGGAGAGCCCCCCAGGAGUUGGGGACGGGUCCACCAGUCACCAGGAGUUGGGGACGGGUCCGCCAGUCACCAGGAGUUGGCAGCCGUCACUCACUGGCUUUCUCCCCCUACCCCCUCCUGCUCCGGCCCUCCAGACGCUGCUGCAGGACUUCUCCUACGAUGAGUCCAAAGUGGAGUUUGACGUGGACGCGCCCAGUGGGGUGGUGAUGGAGGGCUACCUCUUCAAGAGGGCCAGCAACGCUUUCAAGACGUGGAACCGGCGCUGGUUCUCCAUUCAGAACAGCCAGCUGGUCUACCAGAAGAAGCUCAAGGAUGCCCUCACCGUGGUGGUGGAUGACCUCCGCCUGUGCUCUGUGAAGCCGUGUGAGGACAUCGAGCGGAGGUUCUGCUUCGAGGUGCUGUCACCCACCAAGUGAGGAGGCCCAGCCCAGGGUGGGGUGGGGGGCGUACCUGCCCACCGGAGCUGACGCCCGCCCCUCCACUGCCUGCAGGAGCUGCAUGCUGCAGGCUGACUCCGAGAAGCUGCGGCAAGCCUGGGUCCAGGCUGUGCAGGCCAGCAUCGCCUCCGCCUACCGCGAGAGCCCUGACAGUUGCUAUAGCGAGAGGCUGGACCGCACAGCAUCCCCGUCCACGAGCAGCAUCGACUCCGCCACCGACACUCGGGAGCGCGGCGUGAAGGGCGAGAG
rnacentral:sRNA from 1 species